GUUCGUGAAAGGUAUGAGUAUAAGUAUCCCUCCGACUUGAGAUUGUUGGAUUUCGAUGAUGCAGCGGAAUACGAAUUUCAAAAUUUUUCACAUACAUUCAACUAUUGAAAAAACUAGUUUAACAAUUAAAUAUGACUACCGAAAUACAAAAGCCCCAGGAACACCUUGAUGAUGACAAUCAAACAAUCAAAAAUAUAUACAUCAGGAAGAGAUCAGAAGUCAUAUACCAAUAUGAAGAUCAUGAACCGAUAAUCUUGAGAUCCCCACA
rnacentral:lncRNA from 1 species